rnacentral:rRNA from 1 species
UACGGAGGGGGCUAGCGUUGUUCGGAAUUACUGGGCGUAAAGCGCACGUAGGCGGCUUUGUAAGUUAGAGGUGAAAGCCCGGAGCUCAACUCCGGAAUUGCCUUUAAGACUGCAUCGCUAGAAUUGUGGAGAGGUAAGUGGAAUUCCGAGUGUAGAGGUGAAAUGCGCAGAUAUCAGGAAGAACACCCGUGGCGAAAGCGGCUCUCUGGGACGGUACUGACGCUGAGACGCGAAAGCGUGGGGAGCGAACAGG